UCAUGAUGUAUAUGAGAAGUUAAGAUAGAACAAGGAGGAAAAACAAGUAUUUGGGGGAGAAAACUAAAUAUUGUGGAGUCAAAUCUAUAUUGUGCGGUAAUUACAACACUUGAUAUAGCUGUUAGGAAUAAUGAAUCAUGACAAAGAUGCAUCAGGCAGUCGAUGGAAAGAGUGAAUAACAAACAACCUUGUGCCAACCUGUGCCCAUGAAUUAUGGCUGCUGUGUUUCAGGAGAACAGUGUUUGGAACACUACCUGCAAGUGCUCUCAGAGGCCACUUGAAGAAGGAAGAAAAGAUUGGGCCAAAGUUUUUUAUGGAGAUUUUUAUUUUCUCAUGAUCAAUCAUCCAGCUGAAGCAAUGCAUGGUACAGAGGUGGGGGAAACAUGGCUUGGGACCAUAAAUAGACUGAAAUAUUUGUCCAUAUUUAGUUUAAGUUAUUACAAAUACAGUCAAUUUCAAAAAUCAUUUGUUAUAGGUAAUUUAUAAUCGGAAAUCAGAAUUUAGAAUCAGACUGAUUUUUUUGAAAAACAUUAUCUGUUGUAACCAGCCCAUUCAACCGCAGUCUUAAUUCAUGUCAUUCAAAUGCUGCAACUUAUUUUUCCAGAGCUUUUCUAGCAUAUGGAUUUAAACCCUAUGUUUAAGUUUUCACAAUGAGUCAAGGUCAAAUUUGUCUUUGAAGUAAAACAAUUUUUUUCAAUGAAAUGUUAAAUUGUGCUAGAUCUUAAAUGAGACUAAUUAUGAAAUAUGAAGUUUUGAUAAUUUUCACAUCAUCAGUGAUAAUUUUCACAUCACUGAUCUAAAAGUAGAAGUUUUUUUGAAGUCUCCAUCUCUGAAUACUGGCCUUAUAUUUUCUUUUGAAAUAUUUCAUUUACUGCAUACGAUGUCAUUGCAGCCUGCUGUCUUUUAUUCUCUACUUGGCUGAAGAAUUUUCAGGUUUGCUGACCUUAAAAUCAAACUUGUGCUAUACCAUGACACUGAUUUCUCUUAUUUUGUCUGGCUUGGCAUCUCACGUCAUUUCUGUAUUUUGGGAAAAGAGACACGGCACAAGAUUUAAAGUUUACUUAGAUCAGUUGUAUGAAGUUCUGCAGUGAUGGCUCUGGAACACUUCUAGUUACUCUGUUUUGAUUUCAGUACUUUGAUAAAUAAUGUUAUAACUCUACAUCUGAUUUUGUGCAUCAAAAAUGAUCUCAAAUGAUAAGUGCUCUUGAGCAGAUAAACCCAGCUCUUCCAAUCUAGGAAUACAAAACUUUUUUGCCUUUUAAGGUUUGAUUUUUCUAAAAUUAAAAUGGUCUCAAGUUGUGGUCUGGAGUUGCCUAGAUAUUUACUGCCCAUGUGUAUCCAUGUAGCUUGUUCGCAUAACCAAAACAGAUAUUUUUGCCUUCACAAAUAGAACUCAUAAAAAUAUCUGUUUGUGAAGUCAGGCCUUUUUAUAAGUGAACUAAUGAGUUAUUCUCAUCAAGCAAUAAUUUACUGCAGCUAGGAGGAUUGGAAGGGAGAUAGCUCUGGAGAGGGUAAGGAAGUAACAGCACAAGGUUCUGUUAUGUAGUUUCAACUUUUCAGAAGACUGCCAAGAUGGAUGGACAGGAAAAUGGGGGAGAAAGAAAAAGAGAACUGGAGGCAGAGAAAAGCUAAUGAGAACCAGUAUUAAAGAAAUAGUAGUACCCUGGUGUCAGUGAGGGAACACUUUGGAACUCCACUGUGGACAGUCACCUGUAAAACUCCCAGCAGGGACACACCCAGGGAGAUGGGUUAUUGGGCUGUUGUCACUGAGCAUAAAAGUCCCACAGGACAACUCUGCUCUUGCUCAUAUCCUUGUACCCCCUGGGCUCAUUUCAGCUAACUGGUGGUAUAUGAUUAACAACAGAGAAAUAGGAUGGAAAGAGCCCAAUAUUUUAAAAGGAAAUUUUGCCCUUUAUUUUGCCAUAAGUUAGUGGUUUCUAAAUGGAUGUCUUAGAAUUUUCUGCAACUUGUUCCAUGUGGGAAAGAAUAAUGGCUGAACAGAAUUUUCUUUUUUAUAUGAAGAAAAUUAUCAGGAAAGUUGAACAUAAUGAUUUCAUGCCGUGACUAUAAUGCAAACACAUACUUAACCAUCAUUGUCUCCUCUUCAUAUAAUAACUGAAAACAUCUGUAUUGUGCACUGAAACAUUAUAUGCUGCAUUACAAUUAGAAAUGUGCUGAAGUGUUGGAUUAGGUGUUUAUUUAUGGGCCAUGAAAAGUAAGAUUUUCUGCUCUUCUCAUGUACAGCUAA